GGGGCUGGCUAGGCGGCGGCGGCUGCAUGUGAAAGUGUGGAGCUGCUGCGGAGGGAAGAGAGAAGAUGAGAGAGAUGGAGACGUCACAGGGACAAGAAAAAGAUCCCCCCCUCCAUAUAAUCCAGACAAGAACCACUGUAACUGAUUAAAGGAAAAGAGCAGAGGACUUCAUAAAGUCCAUUGGGACUCCUCUAAACCCAUCUAAUUUUCCUUGGACGGACUUAAAUAUUAAAGUGAUGGGUGCUAUAGAAGAUCCUAAAUUAGGUGAAGAUACUUGGCCAGAGUUAUACAGCAAAUCAGUGGAGGAGCUGGGAAUAGAAUCUCUGCAUCCAAGACAACAGCUGUACCUCUUGGCUUCAUUGUUUUGGGUGUUCCCUCCAACCCAACUCAACUCAACAUAAACCUCAGUCUGGUCUUGAUUUGGAUAUACAGCAGAAAUGUAAUAAUUCAAACUAAUAACUCGGAGAGUCAUUUGUGGAAUUACUUAUUUUGCAAAUUAAUAACUUAAUGAAGAAA